rnacentral:rRNA from 1 species
GAUGAACGCUGGCGGCGUGCCUAAUACAUGCAAGUCGAGCGAACAGAUGAGGAGCUUGCUCCUCUGACGUUAGCGGCGGACGGGUGAGUAACACGUGGAUAACCUACCUAUAAGACUGGGAUAACUACGGGAAGCCGCAGCUAAUACCGGAGAAUAUAUUGAACCGCAUGGUUCAAUAGUGCAUGACGGUUUUGCUGUCACUUAUAGAUGGAUCCGCGCCGGAUUAGCUAGUUGGUAAGGUAACGGCCUACCAAGGCAACGAUGCGUAGCCGACCUGAGAGGGUGAUCGGCCACACUGGAACUGAGACACGGUCCAGACUCCUACGGGAGGCAGCAGUGGGGAAUCUUCGGCAAUGGGCGAAAGCCUGACGGAGCAACGCCGCGUGAGUGAUGAAGGUCUUCGGAUCGUAAAACCCUGUUAUUAGGGAAGAACAACUGUGUAAGUAACUAUGCACGUCUUGACGGUACCUAAUCAGAAAGCCCCGGCUAACUACGUG